AAGGCGCAAAACGAUGCAGGCCCUGCCAAUUUCUGCCCUUUUUUCCACCAACAGCUCGUUAAUCGUAGGAAAAAUAGACGAUCGUGGGCGUUGGCUACUUCUUCGAAUUUACAUUUGACUAAGUAUUAUCCUACGCAAUAUCUGACACCAUAAAUGAAUUCUUUGUUUCUCUUCAUAUUAGAUUUAUAUGAGAUGAAAGUGAUCACGAAAAAUUUAUAGGAAUACCUCGUACCAUGGUAUAAUGUUGAACAGAUUUAAACAGAUAUAUCGCGUAUGAACUUUUAAAGCUGACCUAGUGAAAGCAUAAUUUCCGUGGUAAUUAUUAAUUUCACGGUUGAUGGAUAAAUUGCAACAAUGAUAAAUUUAGUCGCAACGAGGUCGGCUUGUUUAAUGCUUCAUGCAGGGAGAAGACAUCCAUUAAUUUCUACAUAACGGUUCGUAUCAAUGAUUGGAGUUUGAAAAAGUCACGGCGAGAGUAGAUGAUACUACCGUUUCACCAUUAUCCCGAUGAAUACGACCUGCGAUUCAACUUUAAAAUUAUAAUCAAAAAGAAAGAGCAAAACUCUCAUUUGUGAAUCAAUUUAAAUAAAAAAAGAAAAAAAAACCAAGACAUUGAUCAAAAAAAUGUAUAUUUUGUCGAUAAAAAGCGUAGAACUCAUUUGAAAGAUAUAACUCAAGGAUACGAUAAUUCUUCUCGAAUUCAUUAUGGCAUCGUUUACACUCGUAAAAAUAAUGAUGAAACACGAUGAUGCUUAGAGUGUACCGUUUCAUUAACAUCAACGCGGAUAGUCUUUUAUACGCAUACAGUUACUUUUCAGUCGUUCCAGUAAGUGCGGUAUAAUUAAAAACGGUAAUAAUUUGAUAAUUGCCCAAUAAAAUUCGAAGAUUCAUGUACUCUUUGUUUAUUUCUUAGGACGUUUAUAACCUACAAUUAGUAAAUAUAACGUAAUUUCCCAGUUGCAUUAAGGAAAACGUAGGUUAGAACGUAGGUAAAGAAGAGUUGCAUUAUAUUUUAAAUUAUAUCCCCACUUUUAUUCGACAAAUAUUGAAUGUGGUACCCUCUAGCGUAUUAUAUAUUAAUUAAUAAUGCCAAAAGUAACAAUAAUUGCUAAUAUAAUGUAAUGUUUAUCAUAUGAUAAUAAUAUAUUUAUAAAUAAAAAGUAAGAUUUUUAUUGAUUAUGUAAUAUAAGAAAGUGUGGAGAAUCCAGAAUACUUUAAUGAUAUUUAGAGAUAUCAACGAAUAAAUAAGAAUUAUUCUUUAUGCGAAUUUUUCAAUUUUAAAUAGAAAUCUAUAUUUAUCACUCGAAUGUUAUUACAUAUUUUAUUGUACGCAUAUAUACAUUUCCUUUACAAAUUCUACUCUGAAACGAUUACUUUUCCUUCCACAACGCUUUCUUCGUAACGAGACCUCGUUGGAGGAAAUCUUUUCGACAUGAUGGCGCUUGUCUGUAAAGAUACUCGGGUCUCAUCGACUUCAGAAUACCCUAGCUAACGAUUUUCCGGCUCCCGCGAAGCUUCGUCAUGCUUGCAAACUAUCCUUGACGCAGUUACGUGUGGAGAUGCUGAUACAAGUGUAAAUCAUAGACACAUAGUGUGAUUUCCUCUUCGAUACGUGAACAAAUUCGUACGUGUUGACUAUUCGAACAAUUUUUACGAAAGAAAUAUUGUCAUAAUAAUGGUUAAUUAACUGAUAAUCGCGAUAAAUUUUCAUCAACGAUGAAUAAAUUCGAAUGCACUAGAGACUAGGUUAGGAUUUGCUUGAAAAAUAAAUAAUUAGCCCUAUUGCAUAUGCGUGUUGCGUAUUGAUGAUAAUUAUAAAUAAAUGAUUCAGCAAUGAUUGUAAUGAAUAUUUGCAAUUUGUGUUUAACGAACAAAUAUCUGAACUAUUUAAUAAAUCAAAGAAAUGUUGUAAGUUAAAUCUAUGUGUGAAUCAACAAAUGAACAAUUAGCAUUGAUAUUGUAUGAAAUAAAAAUAAGAUAAAAUAAUAUUGAUUAUACUGAAUUAAAUAUUCUAUUAUGGAAAUAUUUUUAUAAAUAUCUACAACAACAACACAUGUUCUCUUUCUAAAAGAAGUACAUCGAACAGAAACUAGAUUUCACGAAAACGAAAACAGGCAGUUUCGAAGUGAAUUAGAUUUCAAAAGAUUGUUAACAUUCACAGAGAUCCGUAAGUGUAUCCUCGCGCUUUCUUUUCAUACAAACAUGGAUAAUUAACCGAGCAUAGGCAAUUUUUUCAUCUGGUCGAAGUGAAAUUCAACUGGACGUAAUCUGUUUGGAAAGAGUUACGUAUCCGGGUAUCGAAGCAACGAUAUCUCCUCGACGUAUCAAUAUCUCUUCGAAAUUGUAUGAGGCGGAUGAUCUAUUCGCAGUCUACUCGUCUUCAAAGAGACAAAUCGUCAUUCGCUUGAAACCUCUUGGACGAUGAUACGGGAGAAAUGACGAGAGAUAAGUGAAACCAAAGUUCAAACGUUCACGGACGACUUUCCCCGUAAUGUUUUCGACACGAACAGGAUUCCGUGGUUGAAACGUUAAGUUAGAAAAGAUGUGUACUAUCAUUGUAUCAUUUAAUUAUUGCAGAAGUUAGUAUAAGGAUACAUGAGUGUAUGAGUGUAUAUUCAUGACAAGUGAUACAAGAGAUGAAAGGAUAUGUGGCAUGGAGAACGAAUUCAGCGUAUAUUUCGAUUUAUGUGUUAACAUAAACAAAAGAAUAUUAAUAGUUUACAAUGCUGGAUCGAAGAUUUGAGAGUAUAUCGAAUACAUAACGAAAAAAGAAAAAAAUAGAGAAAUAUAUAUUUGUAUACGAAUAUGCAUUGAUAUACCAUUGAUAUAACCUAAAACUUUUGAAUUGUCGAGAGAGGAAAAGAAAAAAAUAUCCUUAACAGAUACGAUUUUUUUGUAUGUAUCUCUAAAUAUUUAUCAUUGAAACAUUAAGUUAAGAAAAAUGUAUUAUAAUUGUAUCGUUUAAUUAUUGCAUUAAAUUAUAGUAUAAAGAUAUGUAUGUCGAGUAGUAUAAAAUGGAAGAAGGAUAUGUAAAAGAACAAAUUUAGUGUAUAUUUCAGUUAGCAAUAAGACAAAAGAAUAUUAAUAGUUUACAAUGUGUUAGAAGAAGAAAUAUACAACGAAAGAAAAAUAGGAAAAUAUAUAUAUAUAUAUUAUAUAUAUGUUUGUACACGAAUCUACCAAUGACAUAACCUAAAACUUUUGAAUUGUUGAAAGAGGAAAAGCGAAAAUAUUCUUGACGGAUAUAAUUUCUCUGUACAGAUAAAUCGAGGACAAGGAGAAAGGGGGAAAUAAGGAAGAGAGACGGAUUAAUAGGAGAAUCAUAGGAGCAAUGACGUUAUCCUGGGAUAACGGGUGACCAGGUGCAUCGGGCACAUCGCCACCUAGGAAGUGGGUACGAGGUCUGACGGUUGCCUCGUCAUCUUGACCAUUCUGCAGGAUACGGUAUAAUAUCGUACCAUGGAAAUAUCGUGGAUAAUCAGCUUUUAACGCGUUGAACAUCGCACGAGAAUCAAGGAUCUUGCUACAAAUUCAUUUGUGAUUUGUAUUUUAGGAGAAUCCUUUACAAAAUCAUUGCUUUAAGUUAAUAAUUAUUGAAUUGAUGAAUUUUUAUUUCAUCGUUUCAAAUUUGAGGAAUUAUCUUUAAUUUGCACCAAAAGUUAAAAAAAUAAAUAAUAAAGUACACUUUUUUUUUUAUUUCAUAUUCUAUCUUUCUAAGAAUACGAUAUUUUGAAAAUGACUAAUAUACAUAAUAAUAUACACAAAUCAGAACGAGACACGUGUCAUAUUUAAUAAAUAGAUAUUUAACAUUAUAAUAUUUAAAGAUAAUAAAUAUUAAUUAAGACACGGAAGUAAUAAUUUUAUACACUUUUCAAUUGGCCAAAAAUUAAAACGUGAAAUUAACAUCUCUUAUGAUCUCUUACGAUCGUAUUAAUUCAACGUCAAAUUGGUAUAAAAUUUGCGAAAUGUGCGUGCAUAGAUAAAUAGCGUAUAACGUAAGAAGCGUGCCGGGUCGAGGGUAAUUUAAAGUUCGUACAAGUAACAUAAUUGCAGGCAAGGUGUGCUUAACGACGUGUGAAGAUGGCAGACAGAUUAAUUAGAGCGAUCGAUGAUUGAUAAAUAAAAACGACUUGGUUAUCAGUCGCUAAUUUUAUCUCUAACGCUAAUUUUUAUAACGAAUAUUGUAAAAUUUGUCAUUUAUCCAUUAUUUUUUUUAUAAUGAUUAAAAAUAGUGUAAUAGGGAAAAAACAGAUAAUUUAUAACAUAUAUAUGAAAAUUUUACGUUUUAUCGAUUAAUGUUAUACAUAUUUGUAAAAAAUAGUUCACUGUAACUAAAUUGUUAAAUGAUUUAUCGUUCUAUUAGUUUCAAUUAGUUUCAAUUUAUAUUAUAUAUAUUAAUAUAUUUAUGGAAGAUCGAUUCUAGAGAUUAACACAAUAAUAAUAAAUAAAUAAAAACAUAUUGAGGCUUAUUGAGAUUAUUUACUUAGUAAAUAAGAAUGCUUUCAUUUUGCAAAUUUCAAUUGCUCAUAAUUUGAUAAAUAAGCCUUAAUAUAAUAAUAUUAUAUUUCGAAUGUUAACUUUUUUGCUGUUGAUUUUUUAAAAGUAUCUCAUUUCAUAAUAAAUUUUAAUAAUAAAUCGAGUAUAUCGAAAAAUAUUUAUUAAUAUUAAUUAAUAUUAAUUAUUUUUAUCCAUUGGUGAUAAAAUAUAAUAAGAAGAAUAAGAACAGAUUAUUGAUCAUUGAUCGCGUGAUCGUGUUACCGAAAAUUGAUUGGCGAUGAAGCGUGACAGCAUUCACGUGGGGUGAGUCAGACCAAUUUAUAACUCGUUAGUCAGGGCUAUGUAUUAAAUCGAAAUUGAUCUGUCUUUCGUGCAGGUUAAACAAUCAACCGAAAACAAAAUUGGGUUUUAUUCGCGUCAAAUAGAAUAAAAAUGAUUCUACUUGAAAGAUAUAUUUGCGAAAACGAAUUACGUCACGGUUGGAAGAGAAUACUCCGUUUUGGCGGGAGAUUUUGUAGAUUAGUUGCAAAUGGCAGCCGUCUCGAGCGUAACGGUCGAAAUGCAUCGGGCUCAUUGGAAUUCACGUGCUUACAGUGCGAUAUUUCUAUUGGCGGUAUUCUCUUUUGGCUUGUUUGCACGGAUCGUUACCCAUGAGUACACAACGGUUACGUGAUAAUCGUACAUCAAAUUGUUCGAAUUAAAUCAUAUUUCUCGGUUGCAUGUCGCAUAGAAGUCAAAUGUCGCUUUUAGCACCUUGUUACUUUUAAAUGUACUAACUUAACCUAAUUUUUUUUGUUCUUUUUAAUACUUCCGUUGUUAUUUGUUAUUGAAAGUAAGUGUAGUUCAAACUUUCUCAUUAAAAAUAAACGAUUUUUCAUCAAACGUCAUUAAUUUCAAACUUUACACUUGAAAGAAACAAUACCGUUACAUGAGAUUAGCCGUUCUAUGAGCUCAUCUGUUGGUUCGUUUGUAAUCAUGCUUGUAUACUUUAGUCGUAAGAUAUUUUUGUAGAACAAUCAUGCACUUGUGCUCAUUUCACGUUAAUAUUCGCUUUAUAUUCAGCCUUUUGAUCUCACUUACCGUUAGAAUGGCUUAAAAAUAUUAUCGUUCUCCUUUCUGCAUAGAUUUUCAAUUAUUAUCCUAUUAAUUAUGAUUUAUUACUAAAUUAUAGCAUCAAUGUCAAAGUUUAUAAUUAUAAUACUAUAUAUAUAUAUAUAUAUCAUAUCGAAUGAAAUUACUUUGAAUAGACGUCAAUAGAAAUUUCAUUGAAAAGAUUAUUUGUGUAUUUCAUAUAAUUAUUCUUUUAGAAAUUUAUAAAUAUUUUAAAUAUUUAAAAGUAAUUUAGAUAAAAAAAUAUACUUUUUUUAAUGUAAAAAUUUAAGAAAAUAAAUAUUCAUAUAAAUAUGAUUCGAUUUCUACACUGAAUUUUCUAACUUAAUCUCUAACUUUUUUUAUAGUAGAAAUUUAAUUAUGAAAUAUUUAAAAAAUAAAUAUUUAAAAAAAUUUUUAUAAAAUCAUAAAAUAAAUUAUACGGAAACUAAAUGAGUUUGAAAGCUUAAUGAAAAUAGCCGAGAAUGAUGCAUAUUAUUUAUCUUUUAUAAAAUAAUAUAAACAUGUUAUAUGAGAAUAUUGAAAUUAUUAGUAAUUAUGCGCAGAAAUCAAUUGCGCAAUCAAUAUUUGAAAGUACUAAGAUAUUCCGGUAGAUGGUUCUAAAUAUCACUAUUUUAAUAUUAGAAUACAUUUUAAAAUUUAAAUGUAAAUUCUUAUGCGAAUUGAAUAUGAAAUAUAUAUAUUUGAAAUUUAAUAUUGAAUGUAUCAGUAUGUAAAAAAGAAGUAAAAAAAAUCAAUUUAUACUCGUACAUCAGUAUUGUUUUUACAUAAGUGGUUGCAUUUACAAAAUGUUAGAGAGGAGUGUGAAGAAUGUAAAUUGCGUAUCUUGUAACGAUAGCUUGAUAGCGAUGAAAAUACGGAAGACGGAACGAAACAGUGGAUGAUACUUAAGAUAAUCAUACAGUCAUUAUCUUCCCGUUACCAGCGAUAAAUCCUAAAUGAAGAACAACGGAUAUAUAAUUUCAAAAAAGUCAUGAUAAGUUAACUAUUUGUCAUCAAACGUAAUUUUGCUUAAUAAUACCGAACAAAGGCAUAACAAACAGUAUUUCUAACAUGUCAAUAAUGUGUAAGUUCAUACAUCGAUAAUAUAUAUCAAACAGUCGAUAAAUUUCUGAUUUGCAAAUUUUUUAAAAAUUUUAAAAUUAUUAUUUUAUCAAUCCAAGUCUUAUUUUCCUCGUAAAACAUGAGUAUUUCUAUAUUGUACGGAUAUGUAAAUAUUUACUUUUAUACAAGCGGUGAUCAUUGCCUUACAUCCAAGCUAUUCGAAUCAAACAGACAACAUUCGAGCUCGAAUGAAAAGGAGGAGAAAGGGAAAGAGAGGAAGAAGAGGUUUCCGUGGUCGCGUGCCGUCGUGCUCCGCUGGGCCCAACGAUCCUCUCGCACAUGACGCACUGGAAUAGGACAUUACGAGAUAGUGAGCGGCGUCCCGGCGUCCCGUCGGGCCGUCGUCGUCCCGACAUGCCAUCGCAUCGCGGCCCAAUCGUCGGUUGGUGCCACGCGACUGGCACGUGGCUCGCAAUUGCACUACCGUGCCCCCUCGGUCACGCCCCGCUGAUUCGCCUCUGUUGCCCUUUGCUUUUGCAUUCGUACACGAUCAUUUCUAGCCGCGGACUCCCUCUGUUACCCCUUACAGAUAACUGGACCCUUUCAAUGAUACGUCUCUCGGUUGUUAUUUCGCGCCACGAGCCGCACUUCUGUUGUAAAAUUAUGGUGCCGUUAUACGACUAACCUAUCGUUAUAUUGUAGAGGGAUAAAUAUUAUUUUUUCAAUUUUUUCAAUUGAAUACGCGGAAUGAUACAUCGAAGGUUUGAUACUUUUUAUUUUCUCAAGUUGGAUCACGCUCAUGUCUUUUACUGGUGUAUAUUCAAUUUGAAAAAUGUUUAAAAUGUUUUUUUGGAAGAAAAAUUAUUUAUAAAACAAAGAAAAAUAAAAGAGAAAAUAAACAAAAAAAACAAAAAGCAAAUUAUUUAUUGUUUUGAUUUGAAUUUUUUAAAUCAACUAUAUAGAUAUAUCAGUUUAAAGAUUAAUAAUUCUAAUCAUAUGGAAGACAAAACUAAAUGUAUAAUGGUAAGUCAAUUGACCAAUAUUAUUGAUCGAAUCAGCAAUCGGCAUCAGAACUAACAAUUGAAGCGCGUGUACGAACACAGUAAUUCACUUAGCUAAAGCAAAUCUUGAUCAAAUCUUUUAGUGAUCGUGUUUCAUGACGAGUGGCGCUGUCAGCAGUACAUUGUUGUAAAGUUACCUGAUGAUUCGGAAGUCUCGUUACGAAAAACUCGGAACUUACUUACCUGUUCCCGAAUGCUGUAACUCACUGAUAGUGCAACUUUCAUACUAAUUGUCGAAUAAACGAGAACAGAACUAAGGGUAGCAGAAUGAGGGAAGAAAAAAAAAGGAAGAAGGUGAGAGAACGGGCACCGCGCCAUAAAUCGUCGUUUAACCUUAAAAAUCGUCGUUGCUAAUGGACAUUUGCUGUCGAACCUCGAGAAAUCGUUGCGCUCGUAGCCGCGAGAAUUCUUUCAACGACAUUGUGCGAAGUGCCGCUCGACAAAGGGAGGAUAAAGACUUGUGUCUUACUGAUUAUCCAGUUCGUGUACUAUACUCGGCUUUAAAUACAUGCGAGUCAACCCCGACGAGAUAAAGCGUUUGUUUUGCGCAUGCUUGCAUGAAAUGCGUUCAGAAUGCAGCAUACUUUGAGGAAGCUUGUUUUAUUCCAUAGAGAGACGCAAGGAACACGGAGCGAAGCGGGAUCGUGUGUCAUGAGCGGGCAAGGGCGAUAAUGAAGAGAGAAGAGGAGUCGGCGAUCCUCGCGGUGUAAAGGCUCGAGUUUGAGUGUGGCGCGUGCCACGGCGUCCUUCACCGCAUCAACAUAUGCCUACAAAAGGAAUCGUUCCCUUUGCUCCUUUCGUAUCGACGAAACGACAGAUGCCUUCAGACUGAAAAAAAAUAUUAAUAAGCGUGUCUCGAUCAUCGUUGGGAAUAAAAAGAAGCCACAGGAGGAAACGAAUUAGAAACUUAUACAUACUUACUUCGACAAUCAGCACGUGGAUUGGAACAAGGGCUAAGUGGAGGGAAAAUUAUUGGAAUGCAACGGUCGAGACGAAUCGCCUUGAGACAAUUAGAGAUAUCGAUCUCGGAUCUACUCCUGGUUGCCGGCGCGUGCCCUGCGCCAACCUGGGCCGCAAGGUGUUACCCCGGUGAGCGCGGCAGAUUUCAGGAUAAAGAGGGCCGAUUCCACGGGGGAAAAAACCUUGUCCACUCGGAUGUGACGGUGCACUCCUCCUCCAGGAUUCGUUAACCCGGCAAGGACGCCAGUUUUAUUUUCGCUAUUUUCUCCACCACGAGUAGGGUUCACGAUCCUCGAAUUUGGAUCAUUCUUGUUAUUUUGUAAUUAAAUUUUUUUUUCAAAUUCUUUAAUUUUUUUAUCCCCGAUUUUGGACCACUCAUUUGAGAAAUACAAUCUGGCUUUUUUCGUUAAAAUAAAUUCUAGCGUCCUUUGAGAAAUAUAAUAUAGUUUCUUUCGUUGAGAAAUUUUUUAAUCUAGCAAAGAUGUAAUGUUUUAUUGUAAUUCUUAAUUAUAAUUCGUUUCAUCGAUAAUGGUUCAACCAGAACCACUAUUUCACCCUUUGAAAAAUACAAUCAGUUUUCGAUGGUUAAAAAAGAAAAAUUUUCUAUGAGUUUCUUAACGAGUCGUAUUGAUUCACAAUCGUUCCUUCGAACUCAAAACUCGUUUUAAUUCGUCAAAUUCGAUCACUUUUUCUCCCUUCGACAUAUUAUUGACAAUUGGUUUUCGAUGAACGUCGUAAAUUGUGACAGAGUCGUUAACAAGUUUUCAUCGACGCUCGACGGUCACUGAAAAUCAAUUAAGCCCAGGUGGGGCGCGUGGCUAGGAACCGUGAUAGAUCGGUGUUGCCGUCGUUUUCACCGUCGGCGAUCUAUUUUUCUCGAAAAAGUAUCGGCCCACGAGAACCAUAUGGUGCGCGAGAAAACGGUUAUGGCGCGAUUCGACGGAAAUAAAAACGCGAAUGAGAGUGGAA